UGGGGAAUAUUGCACAAUGGGCGCAAGCCUGAUGCAGCAACGCCGCGUGAGGGAUGACGGCCUUCGGGUUGUAAACCUCUUUUAGUAGGGAAGAAGCCUUCGGGUGACGGUACCUGCAGAAAAAGCACCGGCUAACUACGUGCCAGCAGCCGCGGUAAUACGUAGGGUGCAAGCGUUGUCCGGAAUUAUUGGGCGUAAAGAGCUCGUAGGCGGCUUGUCGCGUCUGCUGUGAAAACCCGAGGCUCAACCUCGGGCCUGCAGUGGGUACGGGCAAGCUAGAGUGCGGUAGGGGAGAUUGGAAUUCCUGGUGUAGCGGUGGAAUGCGCAGAUAUCAGGAGGAACACCGAUGGCGAAGGCAGAUCUCUGGGCCGUAACUGACGCUGAGGAGCGAAAGCAUGGG
rnacentral:rRNA from 1 species